CCUGUGGGUUAGACCAUUGCAAGUCAAAUGAAUUGUUGUCAUAUGUUUGUUCUCAGAGUGCAAGGCAAGUCUCUGCGUCUCUCCAUGUCCACAUCACCACAAUACGAUCACAUCAGAGGAGAGUCAGCUUUUGAAAACCCCAUCUACGAGACUCCAAACAAUGAGGAUACGAGAGAGUACGAAGUCUCCAUUUAAGCUUGUUUUAGCAUGGAGGACCGCAAGCCUUUCUCUGCCUUGUGGAAGAUCUCUCAGUUCCUCUCACAUCUUGUGUAGCCAACUCUGCUCUUAAUCUUACCUACCUUCUCAUCUUUUCCCAUCUGCUGUAAAAAUCACCUUGCUUCUGAGGACUUCCGCAAGCGAAGAGUGUGGACAACAUGAUAUUAUUUUUGUAGAGCUUCAAUAGCCAUGGCCUAGCAGAAUUGCUUGUACAGUUUUUACCCGUAAUUGAGCCAAAUUAAGGAAUUAAAAAAAAAAGACUGAUAAUAAGGGAGUAUGUGUUAUUUAGGAGAUUGAUGUCUCGCUAAACAGAUUUUUUUCUUUUAUUUGUUUUUAAGUGUCGCACUUUUGCACUCACAACCCCUCCUGCCCCCUCUCCAAAAAAAUAACAUGUAAAGUUACAUUGUAAGAUUUAAGUAAAUCAUAAGCACAGGAAAUAGUUGCACUUGUGAAAUAUAAACAAAAAUGAUAUAAAUUCACAUAUAAUGUAAUU